CCUACGGGAGGCAGCAGUGAGGAAUAUUGGUCAAUGGACGAGAGCCUGAACCAGCAAAGCAGCGUGAAGGAUGACUGUCCUCUGGGUUGUAAACUUCUUUUAUAAAGGAAUAAAACGAGGCACGUGUCCCUUUUUGCCUGUACUUUAUGAAUAAGGAACGGCUAACUCCGUGCCAGCAGCCGCGGUAAUACGGAGGAUCCGAGCGUUAUCCGGAUUUAUUGGGUUUAAAGGGAGCGUAGUUGGGUUGUUAAGUCAGAUGUGAAAGUUUGCGGCUCAACCGUAAAAUUGCAAUUGAUACUGGCAGUCUUGAGUACAGGUGAGGUAGGCGGAAUUCGUGGUGUAGCGGUGAAAUGCGUAGAUAUCACGAAGAACCCCGAUUGCGAAGGCAGCUUACUAAACUGUGACUGACACUGAUGCGCGAAAGUGUGGGUAUCAAACAGGAUUAGAUACCCGUGUAGUC
rnacentral:rRNA from 1 species